rnacentral:rRNA from 1 species
GAUGAACGCUGGCGGCGUGCCUAACACAUGCAAGUCGAACGGAGAUUACGGACGGAAGUUUUCGGAUGGAAGACUGUAAUUCUUAGUGGCGGACGGGUGAGUAACGCGUGGGCAACCUGCCCUAUACAGGGGGAUAGCAGCUGGAAACGGCUGGUAAGACCGCAUAAGUCGGCGAGACCGCAUGGUUUUGCCGGGAAAUGAGCAAUCAGGUAUAGGAUGGGCCCGCGUCCGAUUAGCCAGUUGGCAGGGUAAAAGCCUACCAAAGCAACGAUCGGUAGCCGGACUGAGAGGUCGGACGGCCACAUUGGGACUGAGACACGGCCCAAACUCCUACAGGAAGCAGCAGUGGGGGAUAUUGCACAAUGGAGGAAACUCUGAUGCAGCGACGCCGCGUGAGUGAAGAAGUAUUUCGGUAUGUAAAGCUCUAUCAGCAGGGAAGAUGAUGACGGUACCUGACUAAGAAGCCCCGGCUAACUACGUG